AAACUUACCUGGCUGGGAGAGCGGCACGAUCAAGAAGGUGUCGCCUCCACGGUGAGGCCCUCCCAUUGCACUUUGGGGUGGGUUGACCUGUGUGACAACUCCGAGUCGGGGUUGGCCAACAGCUAAAUUUUUGCGUGUGGGGUCCACGGACCUCU
rnacentral:snRNA from 1 species